rnacentral:lncRNA from 1 species
CUCGUCAACGCGGCCCCUGUACAGGAACAGGCCGAUCUCUUCGUCGCAGCCACCCUAGUAAUGUACAGAGGCGUCAGUCUGAAUUAGCAGGAAUCAGAAUGCAGUGUUUUUGAAAGCAGGGUUCAGAACAUCGGCAAGUCCCAGGUUCUUGCUUACGGUUCUAGUAUUUCUCAACUAGCCCUGCUUUUGAUUCGUCAAAAAGAUUGCAAUCAAGUACUAAUAGCUAGCGCUGGUUUAGAUCUCUGUGCAGCUUUUAUCAUCAAUUAAGUUGAUUUAGAUGCUUUUUAUGUGUACAGAAAUCUGAUUCUUCAGGGGGGAAAUAGUGAUUAACCAGGUGAACAGAAGUUUUGGCAGACAGUAGCAAAAGGGAAAUGCUGGCCAGUUACCGGUGAUGGUAGCAUUCGACCUCCGGUAGCCGGGUCCAGCAGUGCCGUA